ensembl:lncRNA
UUGCGCAAUAAAUGGUUUUAAUAUACUUGCAAGGAGAGAGUACGCAGGUUACAAAGUAACAGUGAAUAGUCUCUAAAUAAAACAUCAUUUCGACAGUAUUUAUUACAUAGAAAAAGGGGUGUGGUAAGAUGCUGCCAUCUGUCUCAUGUCAAUCAAACACAUUCCCUUUGUUCAAUCACACAAGUCAAAUGCUAUCUUCCCCCACCUUAUCCUUACUGCCCCCUGUUGUGUAUCUUCCCCUAUCCUGUCCUAAAACCCAUUGAUCUGUAUCUACCCCCAUCCUGCUGGAGCUUCAUGUUUACCUCAACACCUCAUACUUCCUUUCCCACAGCACAACCAACAUUCCUUUUCUCAUUUAAACAGUAGGUCAGUCGUCUAAUCAGUUAGAAUACAUUAUUAAAGACAUUUCCACAACAGCACCCCGUACGGAUUAUCUAAUUACAACUGUCAAAACUGUUAUUCCUGUGAUUCUGACUAAGAUUAUACAAGAUUACAAAUUAUUCACAAACAGAAUAUUCACAAACUGCAUAUAUUGUGGUGUAUCAAGGUCGGGGUAUGUCAAAGGAUCGGACACCGGCAGAUAUCGGGUUGUAUCACGUUGUGUUGAAGGAUCUGAAACAGCAGAUCUGCAGAUCUGAAGUAGCAGAUAUCGGGUUGUAUCAUGUGUUGAAGGAUCUGAAACAGCAGAUAUCGGGUUGUAUCAUGUUGUGUUGAAGGAUCUGAAAUAGCAGAUAUCGGGUUGUAUCAUGUUGUGUUGAAGGAUCUGAAACAGCAGAUAUCGGGUUGUAUCGCGUUGUGUUGAAGGAUCAGAAACAGCAGGUGUCGGGUUGUAUCACGUUGUGUUGAAGGAUCUGAAACAGCAGGUGUCGGGUUGUAUCACGUUGUGUUGAAGGAUCUGAAACAGCAGGUGUCGGGUUGUAUCACGUUGUGUUGAAGGAUCUGAAACAGCAGGUGUCGGGUUGUAUCACGUUGUGUUGAAGGAUCUGAAACAGCAGGUGUCGGGUUGUAUCACGUUGUGUUGAAGGAUCUGACACAUUAUGUAUCUAAGCUGUAUCAAGAUCUAUCCACUGAGUCCGACACAAGGUGGUCCAUUUUUUGGUGUGUCUUAUGUGAUGGUAAUUUCUUAAGUCCAAAUAGUUCUAUGAAAAUGGUAGGUAAGACAGGAGAAAUCAAUUGCACAAUAAACGGUUUAAUAUACUUGCAAGGAGAGAGUACGCAGGUUACAAAGUAACAGUGAAUAGUCUCUAAAGUACAUUCAAUACAUUCAAUACUUACAGAGAAAUGGGUGGGGUUAGGAACCCACAUGGUCGCACCAUAAAACCACAUAUGUUCCUUAUCCUUCCUACCCCCUGUUGUGUAUCUUCCCCUAUCCUGUCCUAAAACCCAUUGAUCUGCAUCUACCCCCGUCCUGCUGGAGCUUCAUGUUUACCUCAACACCUCAUACUUCCUUUCCCACAGCACAACCAACAUUCCUUUUCUCAUCUAAACAGUUGCUCAGUCGUUUAAUCAGUUAGAAUACAGUAUUAAAGAAAUUUCCACAACACUUAACAUGUCUAAGUUUUGAAACGGCCACUGUCUGAAAUGGAAAUAUUCCAAUACACAUUGACACACAAUAUGUCUGAAUGUAUCACAAUGUUUCUGAUCUUGAUACAGGGCAAUUUUAUGCAGUGAUGGCAACCAAUGAUGCGCUCUGCUGACUUCACCACCCUGACUUCAUUAUGAGUACAUGUAUAAUACUGUUAGUGUUAAGCAUUAUGGCCUUUAAAUAAAGUGUUACCAAAAAAUCUAUUAGACCUGCUUGACAUAGCAUUAUUACUCUGCAAUCAACAUGGUAUACAUGGGAAGCUUUAUGGAUACAAAGUAAUGCAUCUUAAUAAAUGCAUCCAAGUAGAAUAUGUGACCCAUAUUGAAAAUAAAUAAAAUUGUAAAAGUAGUUUUUUUUAAACAUUUUUGGGAUACAUUUAAAAAUAACAAUAAUUGGUCAAUUAAUGUAUUUAAGAAAAUUAAAUUAAUACAUUUAGAAUACUGUGGAAAAUGUAUUUAUUACUAUGUCCUUAUUUAUUCAUUAUUCUGUUAGGAGGUAUUUUGUAAUCUGUAUGCUUGAAACUUUACGUAUACUAAAAGACUUGUCUUUCUCUGUCUCCAACUUAUAAUGCCAGUAUCUGUGUUCAGGGGCAGUAAUGAGUGGAAUGUCAGGGCCUUGGCUUAUUGUCUACAGAGAGACAGGCCUAGGACCUGUGCAAUAAAACUGACAUAAGAACUGUUCUCUAGGAGGAAGCUCUUAAGCAGCAGUGGGCUUAGAAACAGUUUCUUUACAUCUGCUGUAACCCUGCAGAACUCUGUCCAGGCCCUUUACUAACCACAUCCCCCGCCUCUCAGGGACCUUGUUGCACUACUUCCUUAGUACUACUGGACUCUGACACUGCCUUGCAAAGUGUAAUGAGGAUGUUUUUCAGUUGUUACAGGACAUAUUUAUCUCUGGAACCUAACUGCUGCUAUUCCUGCAUUUCAGUUGCACAUGCACAUUUGCGCCUUCAAUUUACCCUCAUUGCACAUCUAGAAUGCCACUUAGAAUUGCCAUUGUACUUGAAUCUUUCAGUUACAUUGCUGCCAUCUUUUCUUUCCUGUACCAUCCUCAUUCAAUCUGCCUUAAUUGCACAUCUAGAAUGCCAUUUAGAAUUGCCAUUUGUACCCGCACAACAAUUUAUACCACUUGUUACAUACACUAUAUUUAAUAUUUAUAAAUGUUCUGCCCUCCUGUAUUUUGUCUUACUUGCACGUUUAGUAUUGCCAUUCGUACUGCAUUUGCCUUCAUUGCACAUUUAUACAUUCCACUUGUAAUAUACAUACACUUAAUACUUGUACUUUGUACUGUACUUGUACUUGUUCAGUGACAAUAAAGUUGAAUUCUAUCUAAUCAUUUUGUGGAUCCACUAUAUUAAACUUGAAGUAAUCUACUGUUAUA